rnacentral:snoRNA from 11 species
AAGCAUUCUCAAACCCUCCUGGUACUGUUGCCAUUAUAACUUCCAGGAUAAGAAUGAAUGCUAAAUAAAAAUGUAGAGUUAUCCAAAAUGCAGAACAUUCUGUUGUAGUUUUGCAUUAUUUCACCUCUUCAACAAAAAUAU